CCGGAGGCCUCGCACCAGACCAAUGACUCACUGCAAUGAACAUUUGCAGGUAACGAGCUAAGAGUGUGGAAGAGGCAACCCCAUGCCACGUUCCCAACAGCCGAGUGUGGAUUCUAACAGUCUUCAUCCAGACAACGCAUAGAGGAGGGAAGAGCAGUGCCAAUCCAUAGUACUAUUCACCCACCAAAGAGAAAAUUCUGGCAUGUGCACUUACCUGAAGCUUGUUGAAAAGGCCCGACGUUCAUUAGCAACAGUGAAUAAAGUUAUUAAUCCAG